UUGAUGUUUGUCUGUGGUUAAAAUUGUUUGGCGGUAUCUAAUUCAACUUUUGAAAAAUUAUAUUGAUUUAAUAAAAUGGAAACAAUGAGUAAUUAUUAUAAUAAACACGAUAGCUUAUUACAGAAUCAAAGACGUACCCAUAAGAUAUUUCAGAGAAAUUCACCACAGGCGGUACAGUGUAGAGAUUUCCAGGAGUUGUUACUUAGAUUAUCUUACACUGAUGAUAUAGAUGUGUUGGUAAAAAUUAUUUCCACUUUAGGUAUAUGUUUACUAACAAAGAAUAUAGCAUAUGAUCAGGCAAUAAAAUGUGAUACAUUGUAUAAAAAGCUGGAUUUAGUUCUUAAGAGCAAUUUACAAACAAAGGCAAUAGUAGCUCUUAAUUUUAUAUCUGUUAUGUUAAAUGUUAAUCAAAAUGGAUCUAUGACAAAAAUGGCUUUAAAUGUUUAUGCCAAAAUAAUGAUUAGAACUAGUGGCUGCCUUACGACAAUGAGCGAUAUAUUUACAGGCUUUAUGAUGCAACAAGAUUUAUGGAAGGCCCUCUGUCGGAGUAUCAGUGAGACGUGCGAUGGCAAUUUUCCCAAUCAGUCACAUUGUGCUCACCUUGUGCCCUUGGCAAGUCGAUACUCGUUACUUUAUAAUUGUAAUAUGUUAUCUACAUUCUCAAAAAAAAAAUAAUGUCUCACCUUUUUUGAUAUAUCCUGAAGAGAUCCAACGUGUCGUGAAGCUGAAGUGGCAAUGGGCGGGGCACAUAGUUCGAAGUGCCGAACGACAUUGGGGUCCCGAGGUGCCGGAUAGGCGUCUCCGCACUAGAAAGCAGUGUUGGUCGACCCCUCACCAGUGCCUACAGAGAUGUCGACGAGGUGACAUGGAGCCUAUUCGGCUAUUAAUAAGCUUACUGUCGAAUCAUCCAGAAAAUAUUAAAUUGUUUCAUGAAAUCAACGGAAUGACAAUUUUUAACGGGGAAUUUCUCCAACACCCAGCAUGCCUACAACUAUUGAACUUGGUUGUGGAAAAUACAACGCCUGAAUAUCAUAAAGAAAUUUUAAAAGCGUCAGACUUAUUUCGAGAGCUCCGUUUUUAUUUAAAGAAAAGUGGACUCAACUCUUCGAUAAGACAAUGGAUUUCUAUUAUUCUAUUUUCACAUACAAAAGUUUUAGGAAAUGAAACAAAUGUCGAAGAUGAAGACAAGCAUUUCUUCAAACAACAAAAUAAUAAAACUGGCCCGAGUUUUAUGUAUGAAAGUAAAUAUACUGAAAAUGACACAAAUGAAUUAAUUUCCAACGUUUUAAAGGAAGCUGUUGGUUGGCAAAAUCAAUUCGGCAGCAAUAAGUUUAGAAAUAUAUUUAAAGAUAAUAAUAACUAUAAAGUUGACAAUGUUGAGGAACAACCUUCAUUUGCUAAAUUAUACAAAACAAAAAUAAAUAACCUAAAUUCAGAAAGUCAGAAUAAUUAUAAUAUACCUAGAUUUUCAUUUGAGAGUUCUAAUAAAAACGAUCUAUCGUUUUCAUUUUUAAUGAAGGCUAGCAAUGAAUCAAGUUUUAGCAGAUCAAACUAUAGAUUUAGACUUGACCAACAUCAAGACGAUGAUAUUCAGAUUUCUGAUCAUAAUACUCUAUCUGUGUUGCACAAUACCUCAAAAAUACUAAAAUAUGACGAAUAUUUUAAACCACCAUUUGCUUCGACGCCAAAAGGAAAAAAACCUAUAUCCCGAAUCAGGCAGAAAUCCAAUUCAACGUAUAGAAUAUCGAGAGAUCGUUCUAUAUGUAGUAAAAUAACUAAUAACAGAAAUACGAUAAACUCUACAGCAAUUAAUAAAAAAAUACGCGACAAGUCUUUUAGCGCGAAAUUUAUGGAUAUCGUAAACGGAUCCUGCACAACACUUAUAAAAGGAUUCCGAAAUGUGUUUGGGGCUAAAAAACCUCGUGACACCAUCGAUAAAUCGACAGAAUUCUCAAUGGAUGUAAUAGAAAACAAUUCCUAUACUCGCGGUUCCAAGAAUUAUUCGCAGCAAAGAAAUGCCAGUCACUUUAAAGAAAAGGAAGACCCAAAUUGGACAAAUUUUACAAAGCCAAUUAGCAUUGAAAUGAGCGAUUUAGAUUCUUGCAAUACAUGUAACGAUACAUUGGUUUUGAACCACAAGUUUCAUAAUGACGCCUUGUUACGAAAAACUGUUAAAAAAUUGAAACUGGCCAUUAAUUUAUACGGUUGUGACUUCAAGAAAAUAUCAAGAACUGUAUGGCCACGGGAAGCAUGCAUGACACCAAAUGUGCUUUAUAAUUUGUAUAGAAAACUUAUAAUCAAACAAUAAAUAUAAAGUUAUA